rnacentral:lncRNA from 1 species
GCGGGCGAGCGCGCUAGCGGUCGGCGGCGUUGCUGGCGGGAGAGACUGCAACGCCUAUGUCUGAGGAGCGAUGCCGAGAGAAAUCAUCACCCUACAGUUGGGCCAGUGCGGCAAUCAGAUUGGGUUCGAGUUCUGGAAACAGCUAUGUGCUGAGCAUGGCAUCAGCCCCGAGGGCAUCGUAGAGGAGUUCGCCACCGAGGGCACUGACCGCAAGGACGUCUUUUUCUACCAGGCCCUGCCUGGCUGACUACCCCUCAGAGCACAGAUCAGGGACCUCAUCAAUCACUCGCAUACACAUGCACUGUCUGUUGGCUUAGGGGCGGGUUUACUUCUUUGAGAGUAUUUAUCUUUAAUAAAGCACUGGAUGU